UACGUAGGGGGCAAGCGUUGUCCGGAUUUAUUGGGCGUAAAGAGCGUGUAGGCGGCCAGACAGGUCCGUUGUGAAAACUCGAGGCUCAACCUCGAGACGCCGAUGGAAACCGUCUGGCUAGAGUCCGGAAGAGGAGAGUGGAAUUCCUGGUGUAGCGGUGAAAUGCGCAGAUAUCAGGAGGAACACCGAUGGCGAAGGCAGCUCGCUGGGACGGUACUGACGCUGAGGCGCGAAAGCGUGGGGAGCGAACAGG
rnacentral:rRNA from 1 species